GAUGAACGCUAGCUACAGGCUUAACACAUGCAAGUCGAGGGGAAACGGCAUUGAGUGCUUGCACUCUUUGGACGUCGACCGGCGCACGGGUGAGUAACGCGUAUCCAACCUUCCCAUUACUGUGGGAUAACCUGCCGAAAGGCAGACUAAUACCGCAUAGUCUUCGAUGACGGCAUCAGAUUUGAAGUAAAGAUUUAUCGGUAAUGGAUGGGGAUGCGUCUGAUUAGCUUGUUGGCGGGGUAACGGCCCACCAAGGCAACGAUCAGUAGGGGUUCUGAGAGGAAGGUCCCCCACAUUGGAACUGAGACACGGUCCAAACUCCUACGGGAGGCAGCAGUGAGGAAUAUUGGUCAAUGGACGGAAGUCUGAACCAGCCAAGUAGCGUGCAGGAUGACGGCCCUAUGGGUUGUAAACUGCCUUUGUAUGGGGAUAAAGUUAGGGACGUGUCCCUAUUUGCAGGUACC
rnacentral:rRNA from 1 species